CCUACGGGUGGCAGCAGUGAGGAAUAUUGGUCAAUGGGCGCGAGCCUGAACCAGCCAAGUCGCGUGAGGGAAGACGGCCCUACGGGUUGUAAACCUCUUUUGCCGGGGAGCAACGGGCGCCACGUGUGGCGCCACUGAGAGUACCCGGCGAAAAAGCAUCGGCUAACUCCGUGCCAGCAGCCGCGGUAUUACGGAGGAUGCGAGCGUUAUCGGGUUUUAUUGGGUUUAAAGGGUGCGGAGGCGGAGCGUUAAGUCAGUGUUCAAUUUGAGGGGGCCAACCCCUUCGCGCCAUGGAAACUGGCGAUCUUGAGUGGAAGAGAGGGAUGCGGAAUGCGUGGUGUAGCGGUGAAAUGCAUAGAUAUCACGCAGAACCCCGAUUGCGAAGGCAGCAUGCCGGCUUCCUACUGACGCUGAAGCACGAAAGCGUGGGGAUCGAACAGGAUUAGAUACCCUUGUAGUC
rnacentral:rRNA from 1 species